rnacentral:rRNA from 1 species
GAUGAACGCUGGCGGCGUGCCUAAUACAUGCAAGUCGAGCGAACAGACGAGGGUGCUGGCGCUCUCUGGCGUGAGCGACGGGCGGGUGAGACACACGUAGGUAACCUACCUCUAAGGCAUAGAUAACUGCGAGAAACGCGAGCACAGGCCGGAUAAUAUUCAUCUUCGGAGGGAGGGAGAGUGAGGGACUGUUGUGCUGUGACUUGCACGUGGACCCGCGGUUUAUUGGCGGGUUGGUGAGGUAACGGCUCACCAAGGCAACGAUACAUAGCCGACCUGAGAGGGUGAUAGGCCACACUGGGACUGAGACACGGCCCAGACGCCUACGGGAGGCAGCAGUAGGGAAUCUGCCGCAAUGGACGAAAGUCUGACGGAGUAAUGCCGCGUGAGUGAAGAAGGUUUUCGGAUCGUAAAACUCUGUUGUAAGGGAAGAACAAGUACGUCAGUAACUGAACGUACCGUGACGGUACCUGAUCAGAAAGCCACGGCUAACUACGUG